UACGGAGGGUGCAAGCGUUAUCCGGAAUCACUGGGUUUAAAGGGUGCGUAGGCGGCCAGAUAAGUCAGAGGUGAAAGUUUCCGGCUCAACCGGGAGAUUGCCUUUGAUACUGUUUGGCUUGAAUCAGAUUGAGGUUGGCGGAAUGUGACAUGUAGCGGUGAAAUGCAUAGAUAUUACACAGAACACCGAUUGCGAAGGCAGCUUACUAAACCAUUAUUGACGCUGAUGCACGAAAGCGUGGGGAGCAAACAGG
rnacentral:rRNA from 1 species